GAAUUCCCGGUGUAGCGGUAAAAUGCGCAAGAGAUCGGGAGGAACACCAGUGGCGGAGUCGGUUCCCUGGGGCACACCUGACGCUGAGAGACGAAAGCUAGGGGAGCGAACAGGAUUAGAGACCCUGGUAGUCCUAGCCCUAAACGAUGAAUGCUAGGUGUGGGAUCGAAUGGUUCCGUGCCGGAGCGAACGCGAUAAGCAUUCCGCCUGGGGAGUACGGCCGCAAGGUUAAAACUCAAACGAAUUGACGGGGCCCCGCACAAGCAGCGGAGCGUGUGGUUUAAUUCGAUGCUACACGAAGAACCUUACCUGGGUUUGACAUGUAGGUGGUAGUGAAUCGAAAGGUGAACGACCCUUCGGGGAGCCUACACAGGUGCUGCAUGGCUGUCGUCAGCUCGUGCCGUGAGGUGUCGGGUUAAGUCCCGUAACGAGCGCAACCCUUGCUCCUAGUUACAAGUGUCUAGGGGGACUGCCGGCGGAAAGCCGGAGGAAGGUGGGGAUGACGUCAAGUCAGCAUGGCCCUUAUAUCCAGGGCUACACACACGCUACAAUGGUCGGUACAAAGGGCAGCGAAACCGCGAGGCGGAGCGAAUCCGAGAAAAGCCGAUCGUAGUUCGGAUAGCAGGCUGCAACCCGCCUGCUUGAAGCUGGAGUUGCUAGUAACCGCGCGUCAGCCAUAGCGCGGUGAUACGUUCCCGGGGCUUGUACUACACCGCCCGUCACGUCAUGGGAGUCGGUAACGCCUGAAGCCGGUAGUCUAACUGGAAACAGGAGACGCUGUCGAGGGCGGG
rnacentral:rRNA from 1 species